CACGCACGCACGCACACACACACACGCACACACGCACACACACACACACACACUUUUAAGUGCCACACGCAGACACCACAUACGGGGACACAAUUCUCACCACAUUUGCAAAAAAAUUAAUUAAUUAAUUAAAAAAAAACACCCCAAAGCCUGCCAACAAAAGUACAAUACAACUGCAUAUCACUGGUAUAUGUGUAAACUCAUCCACGCACCAGUUUCAGGCCAGGCAGCAGUGUAUCGGGCCCCCUAUGGAGGCCGAGCUCUGUGCCGUUUCGUGUGGCGAUAUGCAAAGACAGGCAUGCUCGAAGCAGAUACGUAAACCAGCUGCCCGCCAGCGGCCUGCCUGAGGGGCGAGGUGUUUGCGCCAGGGCUCCGGGACCUCCAUGCACGUCGCUGGCACAAGAACCAAUGGGCAACGUCGGAAGAAGUCGACCGUCAUUGUGACUGGAGGACCUUCUAGGGAACUGCUCAUGUGCCAAGGCAACAAACAGCCUAUGCCCUGAUCAGCUCUGGCACUGGGUAGGAGAAAAGGUGGGAGGACCAGAGUAAGCAAAGUUCCAGAGGCAAGCGCACAGAGGGAAAACGAGACACGCUACCUACUCCAAGACACUCUCUCCUAUGUCCCACCCUUGUCAUACGCCCAUUAGGCUUACAGUGGAACGGGUCACUGUCUUCUUGCUCCUUGCCAUCAUGCUUCUGUACAAGUGCAGAAUGUGAAUGACUCAAAAACAGCCCUCAGAGGACAAUGUCAGUCAAAGAUGUCUCAGCUGUGCACGCAAAUGUAGGCUUGAAACCCACUUGCAAAAAAAAAAACAAAGAAAAACCCAACAAUUUUUAAAGAAAGAAAAAAUCAAGAUAGCAACCUGCCAAGAUGCUGCUCUGCAAUGUUUAACCAGCCAGCGCAGUUCUUAAGAAGGAGACCAUGUGGACCUCAGCUGUCGGAUGCGCUCUGAACAUGGCUGCACCUUUGCUCCUGGUGGGAGACGCAGGCAAGGCCAGGAAGAAGCUAGUUAAGGCUGGCUGUUGGUCGAGUCUUCUGCCUGCGGUUCCGACGCUGUUGCCCAAUUAAACGUAUCCAUGACGGUAAGCCCCCGUGUUGAGCCAAGCCCGGCGAAUGGCUUCCAAUACCAGGAUAUGGAAAACUGCCCUGGAGUUUACUUGUUUACAGACUACAAGGGACAAGAGCUCAUCUAUGAAGCACACACCACUUGGGACCAGCUGUGACCAAAUUCAAUUGAAGCUGUAUUAAAAGUAAUACACACUGCACAGAGUUAAUAUCUCUCACACAUUUUUCACCCGCUUUCUUUGUACUUGUUCACUAAAUGUGUGGGUACUUCCCUACCUAUUUUUCCAACAUUGCCAUUACAUUCACAGGCAAUUGACCAAUUCAAAACUUUUUACUUUACAUUCAGCAUCCUUAAAGUAAAUAUAAACAUAAUUAGAAGUUUAUUUAGGCAAAAUCGCUCAUUUCUUGAUUUAGAAACACUUUCAUCAUUCAAGAUGUUUCUGUCAUUGCAGAAGCUUCUAUAGGAUAGCAACUAUAAAUACUUUGCCAGUAAAAUAUUUUUCAAGCGUCUUGAUCCUCAAGCCUUGGUUGUGGACAUGGUAGAGACAUACUCAUGAAACAUGAGUGCAUCAGUCACCAAACAACAUGAAAAUGCUUUUUUCAGCAUUUGCUGAUAGUUAAGAGAAUGCCUUAAAUAAAGCCUGACUGAUAAUAAAUAAAUAAAUAAAAUGUUAAACAAUCAUAUUGCGUAUUAGCACAAGUAUUAAAAGAUGCAAAAAUGUUUUACAAAAACAUCUGUUAUGAAACAUGGAACAAGACUGGAGUCAGAGUGUGUGAAGAAGAAAACUAAAUGUGAUUUUAGUUAAAGACUAACAAAAAAACAAAAACAAACAACAAGCCCGAUAACAUUAUCAGGGCACAUAUAAUAGAUUAUGACACAGCAGGACAUUUGCUGACGUUUGUAUUAUAACUUAAGACUUCAACUCUUAUCAAGAAUCACCAAUGUUCUCUGAUUACCAUGGUCACGGAAACAGCAAAAUAUGAGUCUUGGAAUGUGCCAUUAUCGCUUAGAAUAAGCACCCCGCCCAAAAAAGAAAAAACAAAAUAAAACAAAACAAAAACAAUUCGGAAAGAUAAGAUUCGUUCUAAGAGUAUUUCCAGAGAUUACAUCAGGUGAAUAGGUAUAGUGUGAAACAUCUAUGGGCAGCCAUUGAUAAGCCCCCAUUCACAUUUCCAAGUACCAACGAUUCUGUAUUCAUUGAGAGUGCGUUUCAUUGAGAAAUAUUAAUAAGUAGCAAGCUCUCUGGAUAUCAGGAUUUCUCGAUUUAGACACAGAAAAUGUUACCUAGGCUCGAGCGUGCCGUAUUAAAAUUAGGUUGUGAAGUAACCAGUGCACCCCUUCCAUACCAAAGGGAUGCAGCAAAGCGGAGCCAAGCCCAUGCGCGCUACCGCGUCGGAAAAAAUACAGGUACUAUACUGAGGAAGCAUAGCAACAAACUGUAAGUAGACGACCAUAGCAACUGCAAUGCAAUAAAAAUAAACUAGCGAAUUACUGAACAUCAA